rnacentral:misc_RNA from 1 species
GCUCUAUUAGUUCAACGGUCACACUGAUCACAAGUUGAUAUUUCUAUAUAAAAAAAAUAGUGCUAUCUAAAAAGCAGCCGAAGUUUUCCGUGGAAAACCCGAAAUACACAGCAGUAUUCUACAGACACAUUGUCAAGCAACUUCGCAAUGGAGAACAACGAAGUCCCCUCCCCAUCCGGAUCCAACAACAACGAUUUUCCCAUACUUCCGCCACCGCCGAACGCGAAUGACAACUACAAUCAAUUCGGGGACCAUCAAAUCAGGAACAACAAUGCGGCCCAGAAGAAGCUGCAGCAGACCCAAGCCAAGGUUGACGAGGUGGUCGGGAUUAUGCGUGUGAACGUGGAGAAGGUCCUGGAGCGGGACCAGAAGCUAUCGGAACUUGGCGAGCGUGCGGACCAGCUGGAGCAGGGAGCAUCCCAGUUCGAGCAGCAGGCCGGCAAGCUGAAGCGCAAGCAGUGGUGGGCCAACAUGAAGAUGAUGAUCAUUCUGGGCGUGAUAGCCGUUGUGCUGCUCAUCAUCGUUCUGGUGUCGCUUUUCAAUUGAUACAAUUAAACACACACUCACAGAAAAACAAAAGCAAAGCCAACAAAAAUCAUGUAAUUCCGUUUCCCAAUCAGCAAAGUUAAGGUUCAGAUUAAUCGUUUAACACGUUUGUGUACGUGUACUGGCUCCUACUAUAUACACCUUUAAUUGUAUAUUAUAUUUUAUAAAAGUCUUAAGCUAAGCAACUCUAAAGCUCUAAAGUGUCCGUUUGGCCGUCUAGUAGUGACAGCGGCAGUGGUGGAGGAAACAAGGCCAUCACCCAAGCACCGCCGCACUAAAGGCCUCUUAGGGAGUGAGUUAAACACAUGGAUACGAAAUGGAAAAGGACCAAACAAACACAACUGGGACGGAAACCUUUCUGGUCUUUUCGCGCAAUGAGAGAAGGGGAGAUGAAGCAAAUCAAAAGGAUAACUUACUAAAAUUGCGUCUAGCAUAUAUUUAACCAGAAUGUAAUUAUUAAAUCUUAAUGUUAAACUUAACAUUUUUACGUGUCGUAGCCGAGACCAGAGGUCCCAUUAAUGUGUAUUGCAUAUAUACAAUUAUAUAUACGUGUAUAUCAUCCAAUUGAAAA